rnacentral:rRNA from 1 species
CGAGUUUGAUCCUGGCUCAGGAUGAACGCUAGCGGGAGGCCUAAUACAUGCAAGUCGAGCGGUAGAGUGACUUCGGUUGCUUGAGAGCGGCGAACGGGUGAGUAACGCGUACACAAUCUACCUUUAAGAGGGGAAUAGCCCUGGGAAACUGGGAUUAAUGCCCCAUGGCAUCACGAGACGGCAUCGUUUUGUGAUUAAAGCUGAGGUGCUUAGAGAUGAGUGUGCGUCUGAUUAGCUAGUUGGUGCGGUAACGGCGCACCAAGGCGACGAUCAGUAGGGGGCGUGAGAGCGUGGACCCCCACACGGGUACUGAGACACGGACCCGACUCCUACGGGAGGCAGCAGUAAGGAAUAUUGGUCAAUGGAGGAAACUCUGAACCAGCCAUCCCGCGUGCAGGAAGAAUGCCCUAUGGGUUGUAAACUGCUUUUAUCUGGGAAGAAAAGUCGGGAUUUAUCCUGAUCUGACGGUACCAGAGGAAUAAGCACCGGCUAACUCCGUG